AAGGUCUUAAAUUGAACUUACUGAAACKUGCACGAACCCUGAACAUCUGAAGAAAUAAAAUCUGUUAGCCUGAAUUUUAAAGCAGGUAUGAAGCUGACUUUACACAAACUGAUGCAGUUUGAUAUUUUACCACCAGAGGGCGCUGUCUACCCAGCUGUCACAUUACCAUGAGGCCACAGUUUCAUUGCUAACAGUYAUGACUGAGCCUCUAUCAGCCCAUUAACAGACCAGAGCCUCUGCUGCACUUCUUCUGGUGUCCACCUCUUGUCCAGAGGACAUUCUGUGUGGCGUACAGCAGUCCCUGCAGCUCUCUUUCUUUKUUUAUUUAGUUCUUUAGACAUUCAUGGUGAACCUUGGUGAGUUCUUUAGUUCUAAAUYAGUAAACAGACUAAACUGUAACAUUUCUGCAGAAAUGUUGACAGAUGCCAUAGCAGCUGUUCCCUUUGUGUUACCUGCUUUUGUGUGCAUGCUCCAGGGCUGGAGCUGGUUCUUAACGGGUCCAAGUCUGGUUCUCCACAGGCAGAGAGCUGACUGAGAGCUACAUCAUUACAUCACGUUAAAGUUGUAGUGUGAGCUUGUGUGGAGGAUCAAAGAUGUUUAGGGUUUGAGUCAUUAUUCCUGUAAACAGGUYUCUGAUGUGGUAGGAAAUCCUCCAGAGAAAACCCACACAUGCACAGAGAGAACAUCCAGACUCCACACAGAAAGGCUGCAGCCUCAUUCUGAACCUGCGGCCUUCUCGUUGUGAGACGUCAGCUGUAAUCACUGCUCCAUCGUUUGUAACUGCCCACUGCUCCAUCGUUUGUAACUGCCCACUCUGUGAAUAAUGCCUACAUUUGAUCUACGAGUGAAACCAAGAUCAAACUACUGGUAAAGCUUCUGCCAGUGGCUCAUUAUGGUCACCACGGUAACCACGCACCCUUGUCUGUCACUCCCUGACAGCCAUGUUAAUGAGUGACAGACAGAAAGACGGACUGAAAAUUAAGCCCAAUUCAACAGAAAUCAUUUGAACUGUGAACAGCAGAUGACUGACGAGAUUUGUUCUACAACUUCACUUCUAAUGAAGUUAGGACAUUGUGUGUAAYAUAAAUAAAAACAGAAUACAUUGAUUUACAAACUUUUUUCAACCUAUCUCGACCAAUUUCAUCCAUGUUUUUUUUCUUUUAAGUCUUGCACGGCUGCUGGACCCAGGGCACCUGUUCUCCAAGUCUGUUGUGUUUUGUCUAUAUCUUUUGAACUGAUUGUUCCGAACUAUAAUUUCCCUUCAUGGGAUCAGUAAAGUUUCCAUUCAUUCAUCCAUACAUACAUACA